rnacentral:rRNA from 1 species
AGUGAACGCUGGCGGCAGGCCUAAUACAUGCAAGUCGAACGGCAGCACAGCAGAGCUUGCUCUGUGGGUGGCGAGUGGCGGACGGGUGAGGAAUACAUGGGAAUCUGCCCAGUCGUGGGGAUAACGUAGGGAAACUUACGCUAAUACCGCAUGCGCCCUUCGGGGGAAAGCCGGGGACCGUAAGGCCUGGCGCGAUUGGAUGAGCCCACGUCGGAUUAGCUAGUUGGCGGGGUAAAGGCCCACCAAGGCGACGAUCCGUAGCUGGUCUGAGAGGAUGAUCAGCCACACUGGAACUGAGACACGGUCCAGACUCCUACGGGAGGCAGCAGUAGGGAAUAUUGGACAAUGGGCGCAAGCCUGAUCCAGCCAUGCCGCGUGAGUGAAGAAGGCCCUCGGGUUGUAAAGC